rnacentral:rRNA from 1 species
AGUUUGAUCCUGGCUCAGAUUGAACGCUAGCGGGAUGCCUUACACAUGCAAGUCGAACGGCAGCACGGACUUCGGUCUGGUGGCGAGUGGCGAACGGGUGAGUAAUGUAUCGGAACGUGCCCAGUAGCGGGGGAUAACUACGCGAAAGCGUAGCUAAUACCGCAUACGCCCUACGGGGGAAAGCAGGGGAUCGCAAGACCUUGCACUAUUGGAGCGGCCGAUAUCGGAUUAGCUAGUUGGUGGGGUAACGGCUCACCAAGGCGACGAUCCGUAGCUGGUUUGAGAGGACGACCAGCCACACUGGGACUGAGACACGGCCCAGACUCCUACGGGAGGCAGCAGUGGGGAAUUUUGGACAAUGGGGGAAACCCUGAUCCAGCCAUCCCGCGUGUGCGAUGAAGGCCUUCGGGUUGUAAAGCACUUUUGGCAGGAAAGAAACGUCGCGGGUUAAUACCCCGCGAAACUGACGGUACCUGCAGAAUAAGCACCGGCUAACUACGUGCCAGCAGCCGCGGUAAUACGUAGGGUGCAAGCGUUAAUCGGAAUUACUGGGCGUAAAGCGUGCGCAGGCGGUUCGGAAAGAAAGAUGUGAAAUCCCAGAGCUUAACUUUGGAACUGCAUUUUUAACUACCGGGCUAGAGUGUGUCAGAGGGAGGUGGAAUUCCGCGUGUAGCAGUGAAAUGCGUAGAUAUGCGGAGGAACACCGAUGGCGAAGGCAGC